CUACGUAGGGUGCAAGCGUUAAUCGGAAUUACUGGGCGUAAAGCGUGCGCAGGCGGUUUUGUAAGACAGUGGUGAAAUCCCCGGGCUCAACCUGGGAACUGCCAUUGUGACUGCAAGGCUGGAGUGCGGCAGAGGGGGAUGGAAUUCCGCGUGUAGCAGUGAAAUGCGUAGAUAUGCGGAGGAACACCGAUGGCGAAGGCAAUCCCCUGGGCCUGCACUGACGCUCAUGCACGAAAGCGUGGGGAGCAAACAGGAUUAGAUACCCUGGUAGUCCACGCCCUAAACGAUGUCAACUGGUUGUUGGGGAUUUAUUUUCUCAGUAACGAAGCUAACGCGUGAAGUUGACCGCCUGGGGAGUACGGCCGCAAGGUUAAAACUCAAAGGAAUUGGCGGGG
rnacentral:rRNA from 1 species